rnacentral:rRNA from 1 species
GGCUCAGGACGAACGCUGGCGGCGUGCCUAACACAUGCAAGUCGAGCGGAGUUAACAAGAGGAAGUUUCGGAUGGAAUUUGUAAUUAGCGGCGGACGGGUGAGUAACGCGUGAGCGACCAACCUUGCACAGGGGGAUAACGGACCGAAAGGUUCACUAAUACCGCAUGAGACCACGGUGUUGCAUGACACAGAGGUCAAAGGAGCAAUCCGGUGCAAGACGGGCUCGCGUCCGAUUAGGUAGUUGGUGGGGUAAUGGCCCACCAAGCCUAUGAUCGGUAGCCGACCUGAGAGGGUGAUCGGCCACAUUGGAACUGAGAUACGGUCCAAACUCCUACGGGAGGCAGCAGUGGGGAAUAUUGGGCAAUGGGGGGAAACCCUGACCCAGCAACGCCGCGUGAAGGAAGAAGGUUUUCGGAUUGUAAACUUCUGUCCUUGGUGAAGAGAAGAAGACGGUAGCCAAGGAGGAAGCCCCGGCUAACUACGUGCCAGCAGCAGC